GAAAUGCGAUAAGUAAUGUGAAUUGCAGAAUUCAGUGAAUCAUCGAAUCUUUGAACGCACAUUGCGCCCGCCAGAAUUCUGGCGGGCAUGCCUGUUCGAGCGUCAUUUCAACCCUCGAGCUCCCCUUUCGGGGGGAGCCCGGCGUUGGGGACCCGGCGCUAACAACGCCGGCACCGAAAUGGAGUGGCGGCCCGUCCGCGGCGACCUCUGCGUAGUAACAACCACUCGCACCGGGACCCGGGCGCGGCCACGCCGUAAAACACCCCACCUUCCGAAUGUUGACCUCGAAUCAGGUAGGAAUACCCGCUGAACUUAAGC
rnacentral:misc_RNA from 1 species